UACGUAGGCAGCAAGCGUUGUUCGGAGUUACUGGGCGUAAAGGGUGUGUAGGCGGUUCUUUAAGUUUGGUGUGAAAUCUCCCGGCUCAACUGGGAGGGUGCGCCGAAUACUGAGGGACUAGAGUACGGGAGAGGAAAGUGGAAUUCCUGGUGUAGCGGUGAAAUGCGUAGAGAUCGGGAGGAACACCAGAGGCGAAGGCGGCGACCUGGACAGGUACUGACGCUCAUGCACGAAAGCGUGGGGAGCAAACAGG
rnacentral:rRNA from 1 species